rnacentral:rRNA from 1 species
UACGGAGGGUGCGAGCGUUGUCCGGAAUCAUUGGGCGUAAAGAGCGCGCAGGCGGUCGUGCAAGUCGCGUGUGAAAGCCCCCGGCUCAACUGGGGAGGGUCACGCGAUACUGCUCGACUCGAAGGCAGGAGAGGGAAGUGGAAUUCCCGGUGUAGUGGUGAAAUGCGUAGAUAUCGGGAGGAACACCAGUGGCGAAGGCGACUUCCUGGCCUGUUCUUGACGCUGAGGCGCGAAAGCUAGGGUAGCAAACGGG